rnacentral:rRNA from 1 species
GUGGGGAAUAUUGGACAAUGGGCGAAAGCCUGAUCCAGCCAUGCCGCGUGUGUGAAGAAAGUCUUCGGAUUGUAAAGCACUUUAAGUUGGGAGGAAGGGCAGUAAGUUAAUACCUUGCUGUUUUGACGUUACCGACAGAAUAAGCACCGGCUAACUUCGUGCCAGCAGCCGCGGUAAUACGAAGGGUGCAAGCGUUAAUCGGAAUUACUGGGCGUAAAGCGCGCGUAGGUGGUUUUGUAAGUUGGAGGUGAAAUCCCCGGGCUCAACCUGGGAACUGCCUCCAAAACUGCAUGACUAGAGUACGGUAGAGGGUAGUGGAAUUUCCUGUGUAGCGGUGAAAUGCGUAGAUAUAGGAAGGAACACCAGUGGCGAAGGCGACUACCUGGACUGAUACUGACACUGAGGUGCGAAAGCGUGGGGAGCAAACAGGAUUAGAUACCCGUGUAGUCC